UACAGAGGGUGCAAGCGUUAAUCGGAAUUACUGGGCGUAAAGCGUGCGUAGACGGUUGCGUAAGUCAGAUGUGAAAUCCCCGGGCUUAACCUGGGAACCGCAUUUGUGACUGCAUAGCUGGAGUACGGCAGAGGGGGAUGGAAUUCCGCGUGUAGCAGUGAAAUGCGUAGAUAUGCGGAGGAACACCGAUGGCGAAGGCAGUCCCCUGGGCCUGUACUGACGCUCAUGCACGAAAGCGUGGGGAGCAAACAGG
rnacentral:rRNA from 1 species